AAGGCUUUAGCUUAAUUAAAGUGUCUGUUUUGCACGCAGAAGAUGGGGGAUAAAGUCCCGCAAGUCUUA
rnacentral:tRNA from 1 species